rnacentral:tRNA from 1 species
GGGGUCAUGGUGCAACUUGGCAGCACGGCAGUGGGCGCUUCUUUCUUUUCGAAAGAAAGAAGCCCCGGGCAAGAAAGAAAACGGGGUAAUAGCCGCGCCUAAGCUCCAGAGGAUUUCUUUUGUGAAAAGGAAUCUACGGAUUUGCCAAUGUUAGUUACAGGUAUUGCGACAGCGGAUUUCUGGAACUGCAGAUUAUUCUGCGAGGAGAGACCUGUAAGUCGGGGUUCAAAUCCCCGUGGCCCCA